CCUACGGGAAGCAGCAGCAACGAAUAUUCCGCAAUGGGCGCAAGCCUGACGGAGCGACGCCGCGUGCAGGAUGAAGUCCCUCGGGAUGUAAACUGCUGUCAGGGGUGAGGAAGAAAGUGACCAGCCCCAGAGGAAGCACCGGCUAACUCCGUGCCAGCAGCCGCGGUAAUACGGAGGGUGCAAGCGUUGUUCGGAAUCACUGGGCUUAAAGCGCGUGUAGGCGGAACGGCAAGUGUCGGGUGAAAUCCCCGGGCUCAACCCGGGAACUGUCCGGCAAACUGCCGUCCUUGAGGCAAGUAGAGGUGACCGGAACGACUGGUGGAGCGGUGAAAUGCGUAGAUAUCAGUUGGAACGCCGGCGGCGAAAGCGGGUCACUGGGCUUGUCCUGACGCUGAGACGCGAAAGCGUGGGGAGCAAGCAGGAUUAGAUACCCUGGUAGUCCACGCCGUAAACGGUGGGCACUAGGUGUAGGGCUCGUAAGGGUUCUGUGCCGAAGGGAAACCAUUAAGUGCCCCGCCUGGGGAGUACGGCCGCAAGGUUGAAACUUAAAGGAAUUGACGG
rnacentral:rRNA from 1 species